rnacentral:lncRNA from 1 species
CUUUUUAUAAACUGUGCUUAAUGCUAGACGAGCCCGUUAUUGUUGGGUGAGUAGUGGAGUGGGUGAUGGGAUAAUGGGUGGUUAAUGAAUGGUGGAGUAAUGGGAUAGUUAAUAGAUAGUGGAGUAAUGAGGAGUUUGGAAAGUUUGUUUUAGAAUUGAACGGGUUCAUCAAAUGAGAUAAUACUGAGCAGUGGGAAGUUGUCAGGAUUUCUUUUUAAUCUCUCUCUCUUGGCAAGCCCAACAUUAAUUGAAUAUAGGUCCAAAUCUGCUGUAUUGAAAGGUGCCACCCAUUAGUAAUUUAUGCACGAACCUAAAUAUUGGCCCAAUAAAAUAUAUCUUACAUAUAUCUUGUUUGUAUGUCUCCUUUAUGGGCUAGCUCAAAAUUUGGCCCAAUAAGUAAUUUUCAUCUAUAAUGUUCUAUAAAGGGCCCAAAAUUAUGUAUAAUAAAAUGUCCCCUUUUUUAUUUUUUAUUUUUCAUCUUUUGAAAAGCUGAUUCAAAAGUGGUUCAACAAUGAGGUGAAUUGAUCUUUUUACCCCUCUUCAAUUAACAGUUGGGACUUUUGAAGAAACAUAUCUGUGAUGACAAAAAGGUCAUUUCACUUAUAAAAUAGACAGUGCUUUAACGGUAACAAACCAAAGGAACAUAUUUAAAAUUAUUAUGACUUUUGUAAGGACAAUAUAUAAAAGUUGAAUUUUAUAAGGAUAUGUUUGUAAUUCACUAUAUUUGCAGGUACUUUUAUAAAAUUAAC